UCUGCUGAGAUUGCCUUANUAAUGGCGAAUGAACCGGCAAAAGCUCAUUGCUGAAGCAUGACAAAUUCACUUUUGACAUGCAUUGUAGCAUUUGGGGUAACUAUUGUAUGGUGCCUGUUCGUGUGAGUUCCUUUGAUCAGGGCUUCAACCAUAGAAGGUGCUAGUCCUAUAAUCACGAAUAGUUUGUGCUGUACAUUGUAUACCUUUCGAGUAGCGUAGUUUGAGAUUGCUACGCCAACGUGGGACGUAAACUUGUUCCAAAGCUAAAUAUUAUAACGAGACCGAUAGCGAACAAGUACCGUGAGGGAAAGUUGAAAAGCACUCUGAAGAGAGAGUUAAAUAGUACGUAAAACCGUACAGAAGAAAACGAAUGGCCGCAUUCAUCAGAUUACUUUGAAUUCAAUUUGAUCUCUAUAUGAUGGUGAUACAAGUUGAUUCGGAACUUCAACAGUCCAUCGAUUUGUUAUUGCCUAGAGUCAAGUGCAUUUUCAAAGUAUUAACUGAACCUGGAUCUAUAACAUUGAAAGCUAGUCGAAUCAGUCUAUUUUGGUAGCGAGUAUUACUCGUGUUAAAAAUAUGACUUGCAUAAAUAACAAAUUCGACUUGGCGUUAUAGGUAAACAGACAUGUUCUUUGAUUUCAGCACUUUCGAGUACGGCAUGCCAUGAGCAUUGUUUGUGUCACAUGAGUAACUAAUAUCUAAACAAUAUUAGUUUUAUUCAUCGUUGAUGCCUAAUGUUUUGUGGCUGUCAAUGAAAUCGGCAAGUCUACAGGAGUUUUGAAUGCCGAGUUAUUCGACCCGUCUUGAAACACGGUCUAAGGAGUUCACUGCAUGUGCAAGAGUUCGGCUGUAUGAAAAGCCUUGCUCGUAAUGAAAGUAAAGAACAUUCUUGCAAUGUUUUAAGUGUGAUUUCUGUCAUCUGGUGCAAAUCAUGACAAUGAACGCAACACUGACAGGUUCUAUUGCCGCUGGCAAAGAGCUUAGUAAGAGUAUAUGCAAUGAGACCCGAAAGAUGGUGAACUUAAUGUGUGUAGAAUGAAGCCAGGGGAAACCCUGGUGGAAGUUCGUAGCGGUUCUGACGUGCAAAUCGAUCGUCAAAC
rnacentral:rRNA from 1 species